CUUAAAGGAAUUGACGGGGCCCGCACAAGCGGUGGAGUAUGUGGUUUAAUUCGAUGCAACGCGAAGAACCUUACCUGGUCUUGACAUCCCGGAGACCCUUAGGAAACUAGGGGGUGCUUCCAUCUGGAAGAAUCUGGAGACAGGUGCUGCAUGGCUGUCGUCAGCUCGUGUCGUGAGAUGUUGGGUUAAGUCCCGCAACGAGCGCAACCCUUGCCUUUAGUUGCCAGCAGUUCGGCUGGGCACUCUAAAGGGACUGCCGGUGUUAAACCGGAGGAAGGUGGGGAUGACGUCAAGUCCUCAUGGCCUUUAUGACCAGGGCUACACACGUACUACAAUGGCCGAUACAAAGGGCAGCGACACUGCGAGGUGAAGCCAAUCCCGUAAAAUCGGUCUCAGUCCGGAUUGGAGUCUGCAACUCGACUCCAUGAAGUUGGAAUCGCUAGUAAUCGUGGAUCAGCAUGCCACGGUGAAUACGUUCCCGGGCCUU
rnacentral:rRNA from 1 species